rnacentral:rRNA from 1 species
UACGGAGGGUGCGAGCGUUGUCCGGAAUCACUGGGCGUAAAGGGCGCGUAGGCGGCGCGGAUAGUCGGCGGUGAAAGCCCGGAGCUCAACUCCGGGUCGGCCGUCGAUACUUCCGGGCUUGAGCACUGUAGAGGCAGAUGGAAUUCCGGGUGUAGCGGUGGAAUGCGUAGAGAUCCGGAAGAACACCAGUGGCGAAGGCGGCUCUUUGGUCUGUAACUGACGCUGAGGCGCGAAAGCGUGGGGAGCAAACAGG